UACGUAGGGUGCGAGCGUUGUCCGGAAUUAUUGGGCGUAAAGAGCUCGUAGGCGGUUUGUUGCGUCGGCCGUGAAAACUUGGGGCUUAACCCCGAGCCUGCGGUCGAUACGGGCAGACUUGAGUUCGGCAGGGGAGACUGGAAUUCUGGUGUAGCGGUGAAAUGCGCAGAUAAUCAGGAGGAACACCGGUGGCGAAGGCGGUUCUCUGGGCAUUACCUGACGCUGAGGAGCGAAAGCAUGGGGAGUGAACAGG
rnacentral:rRNA from 1 species